CCUGGUUGAUCCUGCCAGUAGUCAUAUGCUUGUCUCAAAGAUUAAGCCAUGCAUGUCUAAGUACAAGCCUCACUAAGGUGAAACCGCGAAUGGCUCAUUAAAUCACACCUAAUCUACUGGAUUGUUCCUUUUACUUGGAUAACUGCGGUAAUUCUGGAGCUAAUACAUGCGAAAAAGCCUCAACUCACGGCGAGGCGCUUUUAUUAGACCAAAACCAAACGGAUUCUUCCGUUACUCUGGUGAUUCUGAAUAACUUUUUGCAGAUCGUACGGACCUGUUCCGACGACAAAUCCAUCGAAGGUGUGCCCUAUCAACUGUCGACUGUGGUAUAGACGUCCACAGUGGUUUUGACGGGUAACGGGGAAUUAGGGUUCGAUUCCGGAGAGGGAGCCUGAGAAACGGCUACCACUUCUAAGGAAGGCAGCAGGCACGCAAAUUACCCAAUGGUCGAAGACCGAGGUAGUGACGAAAAAUAACGAUACCGGACUCAUCCGAGGCCCGGUAAUCGGAAUGAGUACACUUUAAAUCCUUUAACGAGGAACAAUUGGAGGGCAAGUCUGGUGCCAGCAGCCGCGGUAAUUCCAGCUCCAAUAGCGUAUAUUAAAGUUGUUGCGGUUAAAAAGCUCGUAGUUGGAUCUCGGCAGGUAGGGGGCGGUUCGUUUCUGACGGCACUGCCCCAUUUACCUGUGUUUUUGACGGAGGUCUCAAGGUGGCUUUAAACGGCUGUCUUGGAACGCCGUCAGGUUUACUUUGAAAAAAUUAGAGUGCUCAAAGCAGGCUACAAAGCUUGAAUAUUUGUGCAUGGAAUAAUGGAAUAGGACAACGUUUCUAUUUUUUUUGGUUUUCGGAAAUUGUUGUAAUGAUAAAUAGGAACAGCCGGGGACAUUAGUACUCAGACGACAGAGGUGAAAUUCUUGGACCGUUUGAGGACUAACUACUGCGAAAGCAUUUGUCAAGAGUGUUUUCAUUAAUCAAGAACGAAAGUUAGAGGUUCGAAGGCGAUCAGAUACCGCCCUAGUUCUAACCAUAAACGAUGCUGACUAGCGAUCCGUAGCUGUUUUCUAUGUAGGCUCUACG
rnacentral:rRNA from 1 species